rnacentral:rRNA from 1 species
AGGGCACCACCAGGAGUGGAGCCUGCGGCUCAAUUUGACUCAACACGGGAAAACUCACCCGGCCCGGACACCGUAAGGAUUGACAGAUUGAUAGCUCUUUCAUGAUUCGGUGGUUGGUGGUGCAUGGCCGUUCUUAGUUCGUGGAUCGAUUUGUCUGGUUUAUUCCGAUAACGAGCGAGACUCUAGCCUACUAAAUAGUAACGGGAUUACUUUUGUCCCGGUUGCUUCUUAGAGGGAUUUUCGGUGUUUAGCCGCACGAGAUUGAGCAAUAACAGGUCUGUGAUGCCCUUAGAUGUCCGGGGCUGCACGCGCGCUACACUGGCGAAAUCAGCGUGCUGUAUCCAUCCUCGAAAGGGAUUGGUAAACCCAUGAAAAUUUGCCGUGCUUGGGAUAGGGAAUUGCAAUUAUUUCCCUUAAACGAGGAAUUCCCAGUAAAUGCGGGUCAUAAGCUCGCGUUGAUUACGUCCCUGCCCUUUGUACACACCGCCCGUCGCUACUACCGAUUGGAUGACUUAGUGA